UAUGGCACUGGUAGAAUUCACUGCACCUGGUCUCCAGUGAUCUACCACAGGCCAUUCA
rnacentral:pre_miRNA from 1 species